GGAAGCCAACUUCAAGAUGAGUUUUCCCAUUUUUAUAAAGUAAGAUCCCAAAAAGACUAUUUGGUUGAUAGGCUAGAGGUGGAAGUUUGGCAACAAAUUGAGCUGACUAGUACUAAUAGAUCGAGGAUUUAAUCUC
rnacentral:rRNA from 1 species